rnacentral:lncRNA from 1 species
ACGCCAAGUUGAUAGUACGAAAAUACAAAAAGGGGUUGAUGGGGUUUCAGAUAUUUUUUUUUGUUUCAUUAUGAUUCUACCACUUUUUAUAAACCUAUUUGUGAUGAAAGUUUCAUGUUACCGCUACUAUAUAGUUUCUAUUAAUCAAAGUUUUAGCUGAUAAAAAUUGUGUGCCUGAUUUUUACAUGUUUUCGUCAUUCCAUUAUAAUUGAAGUUAUUUUUUAUUGUCGAUUAUAUACACGCUGAUCGGCUUCAAAAACUAUACACAUGUUAGAUACGUAAAUUGAUUUGAUGAUCUCCG